AGUCACUGACAUUAGAUACCCCGGUAGUCCCAGCCGUAAACUAUGCGCGUUAGGUGUAUCGGUGACCACGAGUUACCGAGGUGCCGAAGGGAAACCGUGAAACGUGCCGCCUGGGAAGUACGGUCGCAAGGCUGAAACUUAAAGGAAUUGGCGGGGGAGCACAACAACGGGUGGAGCCUGCGGUUUAAUUGGACUCAACGCCGGACAACUCACCGGGGACGACAGCAAUAUGUAGGCCAGGCUGAAGACCUUGCCUGAAUCGCUG
rnacentral:rRNA from 1 species